rnacentral:rRNA from 1 species
GACGAACGCUGGCGGCGUGCUUAACACAUGCAAGUCGAACGGUAAGGCCCUUCGGGGUACACGAGUGGCGAACGGGUGAGUAACACGUGGGUGAUCUGCCCUGCACUUCGGGAUAAGCCUGGGAAACUGGGUCUAAUACCGGAUAGGACCACUGCCUGCAUGGGUGGUGGUGGAAAGCUUUUGCGGUGUGGGAUGGGCCCGCGGCCUAUCAGCUUGUUGGUGGGGUGAUGGCCUACCAAGGCGACGACGGGUAGCCGGCCUGAGAGGGUGACCGGGCACCCUGGGACUGAGAUACGGCCCAGACUCCUACGGGAGGCAGCAGUGGGGAAUAUUGCUCAAUGGGCGCAAGCCUGAUGCAGCGACGCCGCGUGAGGGAUGACGGCCUUCGGGUUGUAAACCUCUUUCAGCACCGACGAAGCGCAAGUGACGGUAGGUGCAGAAGAAGGACCGGCCAACUACGUGCCAGCCGCCGCGGUAACAC